AAAAAAAAGCCAAUAAUGAAGGUGGGAAAUUCCCACCUAGAAAGGGUGGUUUUCGAAGUGAGAGUUUUAGGAGUCGAGGAAACUUUAGUGGCGGUCGUGGCUAUGUGAGGAAUGAGUUUGACAAUCAGGGCGGAUCAUCUGGUGGUCAGUUCCGUGGUACUGCUAGACGCAAUGGGGAAGCUAACCAGAAAGUUUAUCAGAAUGGAGGAGGAAGAGUUGCCCGAGAAAUUCAAGGUCAAACUCAAACCCAAUCUCUUUCCCCACGUGGAAAGAACUAGUUUGUUGCUCUCUACUGAAUUUUGUUUUACUAGAUUUUUUUGGUCAAAUAUUCAGAUAGGCAAAUAUUUAGGCAAUGAGAUUGCGGCCUUGGCACAACUGAUAAGAGUAACUUUAAGCAUUUUGCACCAUCUAUUUAAGGCAGAACAUUUUUAUUAGAAAGAUCAUGGUUUUUUU
rnacentral:misc_RNA from 1 species